AUGGCUCAGAUUGAACGCUGGCGGCAGGCCUAACACAUGCAAGUCGAACGGUAACAGAAAGCAGCUUGCUGCUUUGCUGACGAGUGGCGGACGGGUGAGUAAUGUCUGGGAAACUGCCUGAUGGAGGGGGAUAACUACCGGAAACGGUAGCUAAUACCGCAUAACGUCGCAAGACCAAAGAGGGGGACCUUCGGGCCUCUUGCCAUCGGAUGUGCCCAGAUGGGAUUAGCUUGUUGGUGGGGUAACGGCUCACCAAGGCGACGAUCCCUAGCUGGUCUGAGAGGAUGACCAGCCACACUGGAACUGAGACACGGUCCAGACUCCUACGGGAGGCAGCAGUGGGGAAUAUUGCACAAUGGGCGCAAGCCUGAUGCAGCCAUGCCGCGUGUAUGAAGAAGGCCUUCGGGUUGUAAAGUACUUUCAGCGGGGAGGAAGGGAGUAAAGUUAAUACCUUUGCUCAUUGACGUUACCCGCAGAAGAAGCACCGGCUAACUCCGUGCCAGCAGCCGCGGUAAUACGGAGGGUGCAAGCGUUAAUCGGAAUUACUGGGCGUAAAGCGCACGCAGGCGGUUUGUUAAGUCAGAUGUGAAAUCCCCGGGCUCAACCUGGGAACUGCAUCUGAUACUGGCAAGCUUGAGUCUCGUAGAGGGGGGUAGAAUUCCAGGUGUAGCGGUGAAAUGCGUAGAGAUCUGGAGGAAUACCGGUGGCGAAGGCGGCCCCCUGGACGAAGACUGACGCUCAGGUGCGAAAGCGUGGGGAGCAAACAGGAUUAGAUACCCUGGUAGUCCACGCCGUAAACGAUGUCGACUUGGAGGUUGUGCCCUUGAGGCGUGGCUUCCGGAGCUAACGCGUUAAGUCGACCGCCUGGGGAGUACGGCCGCAAGGUUAAAACUCAAAUGAAUUGACGGGGGCCCGCACAAGCGGUGGAGCAUGUGGUUUAAUUCGAUGCAACGCGAAGAACCUUACCUGGUCUUGACAUCCACGGAAGUUUUCAGAGAUGAGAAUGUGCCUUCGGGAACCGUGAGACAGGUGCUGCAUGGCUGUCGUCAGCUCGUGUUGUGAAAUGUUGGGUUAAGUCCCGCAACGAGCGCAACCCUUAUCCUUUGUUGCCAGCGGUCCGGCCGGGAACUCAAAGGAGACUGCCAGUGAUAAACUGGAGGAAGGUGGGGAUGACGUCAAGUCAUCAUGGCCCUUACGACCAGGGCUACACACGUGCUACAAUGGCGCAUACAAAGAGAAGCGACCUCGCGAGAGCAAGCGGACCUCAUAAAGUGCGUCGUAGUCCGGAUUGGAGUCUGCAACUCGACUCCAUGAAGUCGGAAUCGCUAGUAAUCGUGGAUCAGAAUGCCACGGUGAAUACGUUCCCGGGCCUUGUACACACCGCCCGUCACACCAUGGGAGUGGGUUGCAAAAGAAGUAGGUAGCUUAACCUUCGGGAGGGCGCUUACCACUUUGUGAUUCAUGACUGGGGUGAAGUCGUAACAAGGUAACCGUAGGGGAACCUG
rnacentral:rRNA from 1 species